AUCUCACUCUGUCACCCAGGCUGGAGUUCAGUGGUGCAGUAAUGGCUCACUGCAGACUUGACAUCCUGACCACAGGGGGAAAACAAGGAGAAGAAGAAGAAAAAAAUGAGAAGGAAAAAAUAAAGUAAAGCAGUGACGGGAAGAGGAGGGAGAGAGAAAAGAGAACAUUUCUUGUCAUUUUAAUUUUUUAAAAUAAUCUUCAGUUAAAAGGAUGAUAACUUACUGUUAUUCAGUUCUGACCUGAAUAUAAGCCCAGAGUUAGAAGCUUGAAAAAUCCAAACAACAAUGUAAUUUUGAUAAGGACCUUAAAAAGCCAUUGAAAAAAAUAUGAUAAAUUAUCCCCUUGCAAUAAUAUAGCUUUGGUUUCUGGAGAAUUGUUUCUACAGUUGAUUUUCGUAAUAGAUGAACUCAUUUGGAGCUAUUUUUCUCUUCCUCUCUUUGCUGAAACUCCAGUUUAAAAGAAAAAACUUUC
rnacentral:lncRNA from 10 species